rnacentral:rRNA from 1 species
GAUGAACGCUGGCGGCGUGCUUAACACAUGCAAGUCGAACGGAAAGGCCCUGCUUUUGUGGGGUGCUCGAAUGGCGAACGGGUGAGUAACACGUGAGUGACCUACCCUUGACUUUGGGAUAACAUCAGCAAACUGGGGCUAAUACCGGAUAGGAGCUUCUCCUGCAUGGUGGGGGUUGGAAAGGUUCGGCGGUUGGGGAUGGACUCGCGGCUGAUCAGCUUGUUGGUGGGGUAGUGGCUGACCAAGGCUUUGACGGCUAGACGGCCUGAGAGGGUGACCGGCCACAUUGGGUCUGAGAUACGGCCCAGACUCCUACGGGAGGCAGCGGUGGAGAAUAUUAUACAAUGGGCUGAAGCCUGAUGCGGCGACGCCGCGUGCGGGAAGACGGCCUUCGGGUUGGAAACCGCUUUCGCCUGUGACGAAGCGUGAGUGACGGUAAUGGGUAAAGAAGCACCGGCUAACUACGUG